rnacentral:antisense_RNA from 1 species
CUUCAGGGAGCCGAGCCACAGCGGCCGCUCCCGCUCCUGGCCGUAGGUCGCCAGCAGCGCCUGCGCCUC